GUCGUAACAAGGUUUCCGUAGGUGAACCUGCGGAAGGAUCAUUACCACACCUAAAAAUCCUUUCCACGUGAACCGUUAAGUUAAUGUUUUGUGAUUCGCGGACGUUGCAUGCUUUUUCCUUUGUGUCUUCGGAUGUGAGGGGAUAGGUAUGUGAUGAAAGCUGGAGUCUGAACGAAGGUCUUAGGGAUCCCCCGCCUCGGUGGGGUUGAGCCUUUUGGCUGAUGUUUUUCUUUUUCAAACCCAUUACCUUAAUGACUGAUUAUACUGUGAGGACGAAAGUCCUUGCUUUUAACUAGAUAGCAACUUUCAGCAGUGGAUGUCUAGGCUC
rnacentral:misc_RNA from 1 species